CCCCGACUUCCGGGUCGCGGUGCUUGCAGGGAACCCUCCGCGGCCGCGUCGUUUCCGCUGCCGGCUGUUUGCAGUUGGGGAAACCGAGGCAGUCCGGCUCCCCCUAGUUCUUCCGCUGCAGUGAGGAAAACAAACAAACAAACAUGUUUAUUUCUUUAUGGGAGUUCUUCUAUGGGCACUUUCUCCGAUUUUGGAUGAAAUGGCUCCUACGGCAGAUGACUGGCAAGUGCGAAUUGCAGCGGAUUUUUGACACCUAUGUAGGUGCACAGAGGACACACAGGAUAGAAAAUUCCUUAACAUACUCCAAGAAUAAGGUUUUACGGAACUCAACGCUUGUUCAGGGUGGAGUGGACAAGUGUGUAGAAGAUAUAAUGAAGGAAAAGAAUAUUAAACUGGAGAAGGACUCAAGCUUUAAAAUCUGCAUGAAGGCGUGCUUACUGCAGAUAACUGGCUACAAGCAGCUCUAUUUGGAUGUGGAAAGUGUGAGGAAAAGGCCGUAUGAUUCUGAUAACCUGCAGCAUGAAGAGCUGCUUCUCAAGCUUUGGAAUCUUCUAAUGCCCACGAAAAAGUUGAAGGCUAGAAUCUCCAAGCAGUGGGCUGACAUUGGUUUCCAGGGUGAUGAUCCCAAAACAGACUUCAGAGGCAUGGGCAUGCUUGGAUUAAUCAAUCUUGUGUAUUUCAGUGAAAAUUAUACCAGUGAGGCCCAUCAGAUUCUUUCCCGUUCAAAUCAUCCUAAGUUAGGGUAUUCUUAUGCAAUAGUUGGAAUCAACCUCACAGAAAUGGCCUACAGCCUGCUGAAGAGUGAAGCGCUCAAGUCUCACCUCUACAACUUCGUUCCUGGAGCGCCAACGCUGGAGCACUUCCACCAGUUUUACUGUUAUCUUGUCUAUGAGUUUGACAAGUUUUGGUUUGAAGAAAAGCCAGAAAGCAUUAUGUAUUUCAACAUAUAUCGAGAGAAGUUCCAUGAAAAAAUUAAAGGACUCUUACUGGAUUAUAAUGUAUCACUUACUUUAAAGACAUGAAUCAUCCAGAGUAUCUUCUAUUUCUACCACAUUUUGCACACACAACAGAAUUUAUAUGUUGUAAUAGAAAUUAUCUGAUCAACUACAUUCCUUAUGUAUAAUUUCCUACAAAAAUAUUUCAGAAAUUCUAUUGAAGAAAGCUAGUGGACAAUCAGUGUGUGUUUACACGUGUUUAUACACUGUCCUCCACAGAACCUUGUCCUUCCAAAGAGCCCUCUGUAGAGUCACAGGAACUGCAGAUUGGAACUUGGGACUUAGCCCAGGUCAUGUAAAAGUGGAAAAUCAGAGACCGACCUGUCACGGACAUGAUUUGAUCUGAAACUCAGUAUUUCGCUCAUCUUCUAGUAUGUGAACAUCAAGUAUGUCUACUGGCUCUUCCGUGAUGUCGGACCUGAGACUUUCAAGUAUUUGUUCAUAUCGAUUGACAAACCUCUUCAAACUUGCCAAAGAGAAGAGUAGAGAAGAAUAUCCAGUUGGAAAGUAACACACCCAUGUUGUACGGCACAUACAUUUGGUGUAUCAUUACAGUUAUUACUUUCUCAACAAGAUAAACCUUUUUUAAAUUGGAUUUUUUUUUUCAUUAUAAUCAUGGUGGUUCAACUUUCAAUAUGAUAAGAAUUUAAAAAUUGGUCUCUUCUAGGGAACUUCUCAAGCUUGGGGGUAUCUUAAGUUGUUCUUUUAAAUGCUUUGUCAUUUAAAAUUUUUAAUGCUUUGUCAUCAUUCUGCUGGAGUUCUGUGAAAUGUAGCAGAACCCUGAGGAGUGGGUGUUAGCCAAGAAGAUCAUGUCAUCUCGUUUUCACCCUCACAUGGAAAGUGGUUCUAUUCAUCUUUUCAUUUUCAUGCUGAAAAUACUUACCUUUGUGUUUUAACCUUGAGAUCUUAAAUUGAUGUAAACUUUAGUAUACUUAAUAAGGGAAGAAUUCAAAUAAGGGGGAAAUACUCUGAAUUUGUCCCUUUAAGGAGAAAAAAAUCUUUUUAGUGAUGUUAAAAAAUGUCAUUAGGAAGUUUGCUCAAUUAUAUAUUGUUUGACUCAACUCCUGUUUGAACAAUACAUUAUUCUGAUUUUGCACCAAAUAUUCAGUAACCAUUUUGUGUAAUCUAGGAGCGCUAGGAUCUGGAGGAUCUGGAAGUCACGGGAGAGACUUUCAGAGAGUCUGGAAGCCAAGCUCACUGUCACCAACUGUAAACCUGCAACUUUCAUGUGCUGGUGACAUGUCAGAAAAGAAACGUAACUGCGUCUGACUUCCUGUCUCCCCUCGCUUCAGUGUAUAUGUCAGAACUUGAUGUAGUCUUUAAAAUCUACAUUUAAAGUCUUAUGUGUCUGUAGUAAUUAAUAAAAUACCAAAGUAGUGAUAGAAUUGAAGUAGCAGGAAAUUGUUUUACCUCAAAAAAGGGAAUCAUUCAUUGUUUGAAUUUUUGAAUACGCCAGACUGGAGAGAGUAUACCCUUGACAAGAAUAGUCCAAAAGACAAUCCUUAAAAAAUUGGGGGAAAUCUGGGACUCUCAGCCAACCCAGACCAACCUCUGUGUAUAAAUACGGUGAUAUAGUCAGCUAGAAAGAGUAAAAUCUAAUGGUAUCUUACUGGCACCGUUCACGGUUUAGAAAACAAUCUUUUUCUUGAAAAUGUUUAUCCUGAUUUCCCCCUGCUUUUACAGAUACUUGGAUUUCUAUGUAUUUUCCUGUAUGCGAAUGCAUUCUCUUCAUUUUUAGCCCAGCAUUCAUGAUUGCUUAUGAGCUGUUUCUCUUCUUUGCAUUGAAUGAAAUAGAACUUGGUCAAAGGUUUGCUCAAAGGAGAAGCCUUACAUGAGGGUGAGGGGGUGCCCUUUGCCUUUGCUAGAGCAGGGAAGCGUGCCCCUUAACAGUGGUGUGGGAGGAAGAGGUGUGGCUUGGAGAAAAGUGGUUUACUGUCCUCCUGGACUUAGUGACUGGGGACCAGAAGCUGUUUUCUCAGGAGAAACGUUUUACCUACAUUCUCACUAACAAGUCUGGGGAGGCUUCAUUUCCAUUUUCUUAUUAUGAAUCUCUACACAAAUAAUUUUUAACAAAGAUCAAUGAAAUUGUUAAAAGUCUAGGAGAAAUCACAAGGGAGCUGUCCCCUGCUUCAGUAGUGCAGGAGAGAGGCAAUGUCGAUAUCACUCUUCCCAGGACGACCCUGUGUCUGUCCAGUAAGGUAUUCAAAUCAGUUGAAGCAAUAGAUUAUUUUUGGGGGGAUGAGAGUAGGGAAAGCCCAGGUUGGCAAUGUAAAGAAAUAGAUUUCUGUCUACUUUGGAUCUAGCAAUUGAGGUCUUAUGUAAAAUAAACUGUUGAAAUGUGCUAUCAUUUUGUUCAGAAUGUUGUGAGCAAAUAAAAUCCAUGUUG